ensembl:ncRNA M6.10 ncRNA
CCGAUUGAUGAUAAUGCUUUGAUGAUACCGUAAUUCAAUCGUGUUUGACAAGAAAAGCAGAGCGGAAAAUAUACGAGCUACUGAUUUGCAGUGUACAAGAAAUCGGAGACAAAUAGAUGAAGGAUCAUUGAAAAGUGAAGUGAUCACUAAAUUAUAAUGUGGUAGAAAUGUGCAAUCUACAGUUGAAAUCAAACGAAGUAAAUGCUUUUUUGCCCAU